rnacentral:rRNA from 1 species
ACGGGAGGCAGCAGUGAGGAAUAUUGGUCAAUGGGCGAGAGCCUGAACCAGCCAAGUAGCGUGCAGGAUGACGGCCCUAUGGGUUGUAAACUGCUUUUAUGCGGGGAUAAACGAGGGGACGUGUCCCUUUUUGCAGGUACCGCAUGAAUAAGGACCGGCUAAUUCCGUGCCAGCAGCCGCGGUAAUACGGAAGGUCCGGGCGUUAUCCGGAUUUAUUGGGUUUAAAGGGAGCGUAGGCCGGACUUUAAGCGUGUUGUGAAAUGUAGUCGCUCAACGGGUGCACUGCAGCGCGAACUGGAGUCCUUGAGUGCGCGGGAAGUUGGCGGAAUUUGUGGUGUAGCGGUGAAAUGCUUAGAUAUCACGAAGAACUCCGAUUGCGAAGGCAGCUUACUGUAGCGUAACUGACGCUGAAGCUCGAAAGUGCGGGUAUCGAACAGGAUUAGAUACCCUGGUA